rnacentral:lncRNA from 10 species
CCUUUGUGAACUCAGGGAUUCAUGGAGCUAAGCCAUCAACACCUGGCUGAGAAGUAGGGCCUCUCCACCUUCCUCCCACUCUGCUCACAAAUGGCCCUGAGGAGUGUCAGAGAUCAAAGGGGCCAGCGCCCUGGCCUUCUGCUGCUCAGCCCCAUAACUGCCCUCAGAGGACGGGAAUUCACACCUGCUGGUGGUGGAGGGGGCCCAAGGUGUGGAGGACUGUGUUGGCUGCGGCAUCAUCUGCAAAGGCCCCCUUUCCUCCAGGAGCAACCACAGGACCCGGCCACGAGCUCAGCUCUGUUUCUGCACCUGGCAGAAUGCCUGACGUACAGCAGUUGCUUGGGAAACAAAGUUUAGCUGGUGAGUGAACAAAAAGGUGCUGCAAGGCAGUGACCCUCCUGGAUCUCUACACAGCUGCCUGAAACAAAACCCUGCAUGCACCCUGCAAGAGAAUUCUGAAAACCUGGAGCCCACCACACACACACAGAAAUAAAACUCCUCUGCUUGUGCCCCUAAGAGAAUUCUUAAAACUAGGAAGCACCCCCAUUUUGAAAUAAAACUCUGCUUCACUCCCUAAGAGAAUUCUUAUAACUGGGAACCUAGGAACCCCCUCCUAGGUGGGUUCCUAGCGUAGCAUGUGGCUGAAUUCUACACUGUAAAUGUGCUGAGUGCGGCCGAAUUCUACACUGUAAAUGUGCUGAGUGCGGCCGAAUUCUACACUGUAAAUGUGCUGAGUGUGGCCGAAUUCUACACUAUAAAUGUGUUACAUGUGUCUGAAUUUUAUCCUUUGAAAUGGUUAAUGUUAUGUUUCUUUAAUUUCACCUCAAUAAAAAAUUCAUUUAAAAAAAUAUAUUGUGACCGUAAGCCACUAAUUUUGUGUUUUUUAAAUUUUUGCCAUGGAUCCCUUUGGUGAUCUGGUGAAACCCAUAGACCUCUUCUCAGAAUAAUGUCCUUAAAUGCAGAAAGUAAAAUACACAAGAUCAAAAAGGAAAACAAGUGUACCAAAAUACACCCAUCAAAUGAGCUUAAUCAUGGUACAGUCACACAUGUGCCUCUUUAACACAUCGUGCUGGUAUGAUAGAUACCGGUUUUCGUACAAGGCUCCUGGCUCAUAACUCCCACGCCUCUUGUUACAGUCUUUUGUUAUAACCUUGGCUGUGUUAGGUCUCAGGGGCAGCCUCUGACCUCUUGC